AAAGCCCACUCCAAAACUUCCUAGCUAAAGGGGCUUACAUAAGUUACGUAGCUUCUUUGUGCUAGAGUUUCCUUAUCUAUAAAACAGGAAAAAAUUAAUAACUGUCUCAUAGGUUGUUAUAUGGAUUGAAGGUGUUCAGAACAUUACCUGCCACACUGAUUAGUCUUAUAUUCAGGAUUAGCCUUAUAUUGCCUUCAGCAAAUCUUGCUCAAAUACCUAUUGGAGACAGGAAACAAUAUUUUACAAGCUAUAUGAACAAUGACUAUGCCACAGGGAAAGAGAAAGGUAGGUUUUUUCAUCUCUCAAGGGAAAAGAAAGAACUUACUUCCACUAGAGGGAGCUGUAGUUCUCAGAUGUGAAAC
rnacentral:lncRNA from 1 species